CAAUGAAACUUCCAGUCAUUCUUUCCAGUGAAUGCCUCUUCUGCUGGUGGAGCUGUGAGCAGAGACAGGAAACGUGUGAUUACACUGUAUGGAGCCGGUGAGGGGAGUGUGUCAAUGCCACACAAUGUGCCUGCAGAGAUUGAUGUUUUUGUCAUUCACCUGCUUCAAAAGCUGUUAGCCGGCUGAUGCAAAUCGAGAAACCUAGCAAGGCAGGCUCACAAACAAAAGAGGGAGAACCUCACUGCUCCUCUUUGCACAUGUGUUUUGGAGGAAUUAUCUGAGGUUUCUGUGGUGACGCACACUGAGCUCAAAUGAACACUGAGUCUUGCGCCUGGAUGUGGUGAGUGGAAAUGGGGCAUGCAGCCAUGAGCUGGAGGAGAGAAGGCAGCCGAGGUGGCACGCCGACGGGAGGAUUGCCAGGCACUCUCAAGCAGAAGGAGGCGCGGCGGCUGGCCAGAGGAGGACGGCAGUGGAGAUCCAGGGGCGAGACUUGAGAGACAAGAGGACAGCGACCAGACUUCUCCCCCUCCCAGCUCUGCUCCAGACUCGCAGCUGUGACUACUCACCUCAUCGCCUCACCUGCUAUUUAAGGAGACUCACCUCAAGCAUUCUUCACCAGUUCUUUAACCCUGAUGGUCUGCCUUUCCCACAAGAGUCACCCGAGUCCUCAUCCACCUCGAGCAGAAGCUGAACCCCUCAACGUUCCUCAAGAACUCCAGCCACGCCACUGUCAAGAUCUCCAGUCACGCCACAGCCGAGUACUCCGGUCACGCCACAGCUAAGAUCUCCGUACUCACCUUUGCCAAGAAUCCUCGUCAAGCUCCAAGCCACGUCCCACUCCAAGAUCCGCUGGCUCCUACAAAAUAUGACUAAUUACUUACUUACCACUUACCUGUCUCUUCCUUCCGGGUUACAGCAUCUGGGUCCAUCACGUGAUCAGGGGCCUGUUUCAGAAAGGAGGUUCAACCAACUCUGAGGUUAAACUUGAACUCUGAGUUGGUCA